ACACGAAAAUCAAAUUUCGACUAGCUACAGAAAUAAAAUAACAAUCUUUUAAAUCUAAUCUAAAAUCUGACGGUAAUCAAAGAGGAUAAGUGCCAACGGCUUCUGUAGUAACUUUUAUUCUAUUGCCGAUCCGAAGGAUCAUGUCACCUUCCCUCAACUUCUUACUUUCUAUUAGAUCCUACAUUGAGGUACAUAUAUGAGCACUCGAACCAGAGUCUAAUAUCCAACUAGAAGUAGAAGAAACUGUAAGGUUAAAUUC
rnacentral:lncRNA from 1 species